rnacentral:rRNA from 1 species
UACGUAGGGGGCUAGCGUUGUCCGGAAUCAUUGGGCGUAAAGAGCGUGUAGGCGGCCUGACAGGUCUGCUGUGAAAACUCGAGGCUCAACCUCGAGAUGUCGGCGGAAACCGUCUGGCUAGAGUCCGGAAGAGGAGAGUGGAAUUCCUGGUGUAGCGGUGAAAUGCGCAGAUAUCAGGAAGAACACCCGUGGCGAAGGCGGCUCUCUGGGACGGUACUGACGCUGAGACGCGAAAGCGUGGGGAGCGAACAGG